GACGAACGCUGGCGGCGUGCCUAAUACAUGCAAGUCGAGCGGAGCGGCGGACGGGUGAGUAAUGCCUAGGAAUCUGCCUGGUAGUGGGGGAUAACGUCCGGAAACGGGCGCUAAUACCGCAUACUAUCAGAUGAGCCUAGGUCGGAUUAGCUAGUGGGUGGGGUAAAGGCCUACAAAGGCGACGAUCCGUAACUAGUCUGAGAGGCUGAUCAGUCACACUGGAACUGAGACACGGUCCAGACUCCUACGGGAGGCAGCAGUGGGGAAUAUUGGACAAUGGGCGAAAGCCUGAUCCAGCCAUGCCGCGUGUGUGAAGAAGGUCUACGGAUUGUAAAGUACUUUAAGUUGGGAGGCGUUACCAACAGAAUAAGCACCGGCUAACUUCGUGUCAGCCGCCGCGGUAAUAC
rnacentral:rRNA from 1 species